UACGGGAGGGUGCGAGCGUUGUCCGGAAUCACUGGGCGUAAAGGCGCGUAGGCGGCCGUGUAAGUCACUUGUGAAAUCCCGGGGCUCAACUCCGGGGCUGCAGGUGAGACUGCAUGGCUAGAGCUCGGUAGAGGCAAGUGGAAUUCCCGGUGUAGCGGUGGAAUGCGUAGAUAGUCGGGGAAGAACACCGGUGGCGAAGGCGGGGU
rnacentral:rRNA from 1 species